GAGUGAUCGAAAGAUGAAAAGCACUUUGGAAAGAGAGUUAAAAAGCACGUGAAAUUGUUGAAAGGGAAGCGCUUGCAGCCAGACUUGCCUGUAGUUGCUCAUCCGGGUUUCUACCCGGUGCACUCUUCUAUAGGCAGGCCAGCAUCAGUUUGGGCGGUUGGAUAAAGGUCUCUGUCAUGUACCUCUCUUCGGGGAGAACUUAUAGGGGAGACGACAUGCAACCAGCCUGGACUGAGGUCCGCGCAUCUGCUAGGAUGCUGGCGUAAUGGCUGUAAGCGGCCC
rnacentral:rRNA from 3 species